rnacentral:lncRNA from 1 species
GAAAAUUUUAGUAAAUUAUAGUCAAUUUUUAUGCAAUGAAACUAUAUAGCUCUUUUUGUUAGAAAUUGUCUUACUAACUAAGCUGCUGGUGGUUCUGUGACGAAGUAGCUCCUGUUGGCUUCCCUUACACCGGGUCAGACACAGGACAUUAAUUAAGGCUGUGUGUGGUGUUUCUGAAAGGUGAGGAGACUGGGCAUUCUGUCUUUUACUCUACAGAUACAUCGUGGGAGACUCAAAGAUUAAAAUGUGGCCACUCACUGUGGAUCAGAAGCAGAAUCUCACAUCAUAACCCCAAAUGACCUGUUACUCACCAUGUGGCCCAGCUGUCUUCAAACUCACCAGCCUCCUGCCUUAGCCUUCUAAAUGCUUGGAUUACAGGCAUGACCCACCAUAACUGGCUUUGUUUUAGUUUCAGAGAAGAUGAAACUGAUGUGCGUCAAAAAGUUAUGGAGGCUGGGAAGACCUAGAAUGUGGCAUCACUAUUUGGUAAGAACCUUCCUAUGUCAUUGUAGAGUGAGGGACUUGGGUACCACAUGGCAAGGCAUAGUACCCAAAUCCCUUUCCUUCAUAAAAGUAUUAAUGUCAUCAAAGAGGCCCCACCACCAUGAUGCCAUCUGGGGCCUCAUGACCCCAAUGCCUGAUGCCAAAGACUCCCACCUCAAAAUACUUUUUUCUUCAGCAUAACAUUUUAUUAAUUAUCUGGGAAUUUCACAUCAUGUACUCCAAUCACACUCAGUUCCCAGUCCUUCCAUGUCAGCCCCCACCCUUGUUACUUGCCCCCCAAAAGAGGAAAAUUAAAACUAAGAAUUAAAAAAAAUUAAAAAAAUUAAAAUACACAAGUCCAAUUUAUGUUACCUAUAUACUCACUGAAGCAUGGUCAGAUUCUCAGUGGCCUGGCCCUUAAAUAGAAGUGAGUCUUCCCCCUCCUGCAUCUGAAGCCAUUAAUUGCGUAGAGCUACACUUCAACAUCUACAUCACACUUUCAAAGAGUUCUCUUCAGUGGAUUCCUGUUCUAGACCAUUACUUUGGAGACAGGGGUAGGGGAUUGUCACAAAAAGCCUUCCAUGUCCCUUCGUCUCAGUUGUACACCUGCAGUCAUCAAUAUCCCAGUGUAACUAGUCCCCUUGUUCUUCAUAGUUAGUGGAAACAUGGAUCAUGGGCCUCUCAAGGUUUCUGAUAACAUCCCAGACCAUGAACAUGGCCCUCAGGUGCAGGAGGACCACAGAUCCAGACAAAGACCAGAUCACAGCCAUAAAAAUAGCCUCAGGUGGCAGCAAAGGCCACUCAGAUUAGUAUGGCCUUUGGUGGCAGCACUAUCCAUAAACAUCAACGUAGCUUCAGGCAGCAGCACAGACUGUGAACAUCUCAUGGUCUUCAGUGGUAACACAAGCCAUGGAUAUCUACCUACAGCAGAACCAUAUAUAGAUUUGAUAAGUUUCCACACAUGAACCCAGGACACAUUUAAAUCAUGGCAGUCUACAUCCUGAUCCUUCCCUUGUC